GCCAGUCGAAGAUACCAGGCCCCUGCGACUGUUUAUUAAAAACACAGCACUGUGCAAACACGAAAGUGGACGUAUACGGUGUGACGCCUCCCCGGUGCCGGAAGGUUAAUUGAUGGGGUUAGCAUUCGUGCGAAGCUCUUGAUCGAAGCCCCGGGAAACGGCGGGCGUAACAAUAACGUCCUAAGGUAGCGAAAUUCCUUGUCGGGGAAGUUCCGACCUG
rnacentral:rRNA from 1 species